rnacentral:lncRNA from 1 species
AGCCACUCGGCUGCCUGCAGUGGCAGUGGCUACUCUGACGGAUCAAACCCAAGGCCUUCACAGUCAGCCACACCCCGGGCUACUUCUGAGGGGGGCACUGGGCCAGUCUCAGGCUGGGGGUGCAGGGAGCACCCAGGAGGCCUGGGAAGAGGACGGAUCCUUGGACAGUGGGCUGGGACAGCAGGGCCGAAGCGGGCUGGGGCGGGAGGCAGGGUGAUGCCCAGACCUUACUUCUUGCUCUGGGCCCGGGUGCCCAGGAUGGAAGUUUCCAAUGACGGGGUCUUCUGUGUGACACUCCCAGCCGCAGCUGGCCCUGCAGGGCUGUACUGGCCCAGCCUGGACAGAGCAGGCCAGGGUCCAGGGCUCAGCCGCCAGGGUGUGCAGGACCAUGGGCUCAGCACUGCUGAGCCCCACUAGGGACCCGAGGCUACCAGGAGAGGGGACAGAAGGAGCCAGAGAGAGGCCCGAGAGGAACAUGGGCAGGCAGAGGGGAGAGGCCCGGCUGGGGACUCACAGCGAAGGCCAUGGUGCCAGCUCUGCAAGUGGCCAGCCUGGGGAUAACAGGGCGUCCCUCAUGGGGUACAGCGUGCUGAUCCUCGCUGGUGCUCUGGGGUGGCGAGGCUCCAGGCCAGGAGGGAGGCCAGGGCCCUGCAGGGACGGGCUCUGGACCCCUGGCAGAACACUGAGGACUCCGUGGAGGUGUGGAUACCCCUGCACCCUGCAGCCCAGGGAUAGAACUUGGGACCUUGUGCUUGUGAGGCAGGUGGUGGAACCACUGAGCCAAAUCCCCAGCUCUGUUUUUCUUUUUUAGAUGGGCCUCCUGUUGCUGAGAUGCUGUCCCCACGGAAGGUGACCCCUGGAACUGAGCUGCGAAGCCCCCAGGAGCCCGGAGGGCCAGCGACACCAGCCUGGGGCACUUUGGGGGCGAACAGUGGGGUGGAGCCCAAGGCCCACCACGUGGACUCCACCAGGCUGGGCCUGGGCACCUUUCGCUGGCCUUAUCCUGGGCAAGCCCUCGGGGCUCCAGCCAGCGGCCCAAGGAGGACCCGGGCCGGCUCCAGCGAAGCUCCGGGGCUCCCUGCUCCAGUCGUUCCGGCGAGCUGUGGGGCAAGGCCCGGCCGGCCCAGUCCCAGGUUGCCACUGUGCCAAAGGAGCCCUCUGUGGUCACGGGCGGUACCAGCCAGCAGGCAGCAUCCGGGGUGGGGCCUGAGGAGCCGCAGCGGGAGGCAG